UACGGAGGAUGCAAGCGUUAUCCGGAAUGAUUGGGCGUAAAGCGUCCGCAGGUGGCAAUGUAAGUCUGCUGUCAAAGCGUCUGGCUCAACCAGAUAAAGGCAGUGGAAACUACAUAGCUAGAGUAAGGUAGGGGUAGAGGGAAUUCCUGGUGUAGCGGUGAAAUGCGUAGAGAUCAGGAAGAACACCGGUGGCGAAAGCGCUCUGCUGGACCUUAACUGACACUGAGGCGCGAAAGCGUGGGGAGCGAACGGG
rnacentral:rRNA from 1 species